GAUUUCACUCUGACCAUCAGUGGAGUCCAGACUGAAGAUGCAGGACAUUAUUACUGUCAGAGUUAUCACUACAUCAACAGUAAAGAUGUGUUCACUUUCAGCAGCGGCACCAGACUGGAUGUUGGCAGCAUCACUCGUCCUAAAAUGAGCGUCCUGCCGCCCUCCAGUGAAGAGAUUUCCACAAAGAACACAGCAACACUGAUGUGUGUGGCCAACAAGGGCUUCCCCUCAGACUGGAGCCUGAGCUGGAAGGUGGACGGGAGCAGCAGGUCUGAGAAGAGCAGUGCUGGGGUCCUGGAGAAGGACGGUCUGUACAGCUGGAGCAGCAGUCUGACUCUCUCUCAGGAGGAGUGGAUGAAGGCGGUCACAGUGAGCUGUGAGGCCAAACAGAAAGACCAGCUGUCAGUCACUGGAGAAGUGAGGAGAGAUCAGUGUUCUGAGUAGAUCCUCUGGAUUCUCUUCUGCUCUUCUCACUCAUGUCUCACAUGGAGACUAACAGUGGCCUUCUAUUCACACAAGUAUAUGUGUGCUUUUGUCUUUCAGUGCUCAUUCUCUCUUGUCAAAAUUCAAUAAACAUAUAAAAUAUUCAAUUA